GGACCAGAAUAAGAGAGCUGACAGCAGUGGCUUGAGAUUGUGGUGACAGAAAGUGAGUUUGUCCAGGUGGGCUCAGGCCUGUGACUUGGACUGUGUGGGCAGGCCGUGAACCAGGGGUGUGGCAGCAUGGCGCUGUAUCUAUGCUGGGCUUUGGAAAGGUGCUGUAGAGAGGCCUGCAAGUCACAGAGCCCAGUAAGCCCAUGGCCCAAUCCCUGUUGGAGCUGGGGAAUUUUGAUCCACGACCUGGAAAAGGGACACUGUGGAGGUAGAGGCAGCUCUGGGUGCCAGGCUGGCCUCAAAUUCUGGAACUCCUGGAACCUCUCUCCUAAGCCUCUCAUGUGCUAGGAUUACAGGUCUUGCUUUAAGGCGUUGGAUUCCUGUCAUAAAGCUCUGGCAUAUGUAGGAACGCUACAUUUCUGCAUGAAUUAAUUGGUUGGUUUCCACUCUGAAAUAAAAUAAAUCCUUCUGGUUUUGUCUAGUUAUGAAAUUUAUUCUGGGAUAAAUUU